GAGAAAUUAGGUACAUAUAUGGAUAAAUAUAUUGUCCUAUAUAAUGGCAUUUGCCAUUCUGGUAAGGUACAUUGUCUAUUGUAUAGGACAGGAAGCCAGAGUGGGGCCAUGGGAGAGGGCAACACCUAGGGCAGCUGGACAUACAAAGGUCAGAGGUUAUCUAAGGAGGGGGUCAGCCAAAGGACCAAUUGAUGGAUUACAGACAUCAAUCACAUCACAGGAGACAAGUCUGUUUGAUCUUAGACAACCAUAUGAAGAGAAGGCGACCAGAACAGCUAGGCACCCUAAAGCUAAAGGAGAUGAAAGACACCAAAAGGGACACAUGGAGUUAAUUACAGGGUAUGAACACAGGCCACAGGAAAGGGGAAUGUAUAGUAUUUUUAGUAUAGCUGAGCAUGCUAAAAACAGAAGAGACACAUAGUCUGCUGACCCUAGAUAACACACAAACAGGAGAACGCAUUAAGCUGAGUGAAGGGUCAAAGCAAGGGUCUUGUCACCAUUAGGAUCUAAUGGAAAGCAGAUGGGGGCGUUAUUGGGCUGAACAAGCAGGAAGCACGGAUUGGGAUGUAACUUAAUUUGCAUAUGGGAGGGACUUAUAUGGUAGGUGUAUAACUCAGAGCGAGGGCUCUGAAAAAGUGUGUGUGUUCCGCGGACCGCUCCGGCUUAUGAUACUGUUGUAUUAAAAGUCUAUAUUGAUUUUCACAAAGUUCUUGGUUGUGUCAUAUUUGAACCGAUUUGCCACUACAUAAUUGGCGAGCUUGCCAGGAGAAUUAGGGACUGAAUAACGUUCUUGGCUGGCAGCGGGAUCUUUGGACGAUCUGGGCAAACAAGGGUGGCCACCCAGCUAAGGUAAGACAACAGUGAAAUGUUUGCGUAGAUCGCUUCAGAGAUCCUGCCUCAGCAAGAGGAGCGUCAAGUAGGUCUCUCUCUCUCAAAUUUCCUAAAAACUAUAGAAACGAAAGAACUUUUUGAAAUUCAAUGAAUUUGCAUGCAUGUGUGUAAGCUUGGAAAUUGUAUAAUGAAUGUGCAUGCAUGUCUAGUGAGUAAGUAGGUGGGGGCUGUGAACUUCGCUGGUGUAGGGUGUGUUAUUCUGGCAUGUUGGGGCUGGGAUUGGGCACAGGGUUACAGCUAUCUGCUUAUAAGGUUUGAAUAAAAUAAGUAGUUAUAGAAGUCCUGCGAUACCGCUUCAAAAUAUUUACCAGAAGGUCUGAAUGGGUAGGUUACUUUAUUGAUAAGUAAUCCUGCGAUACCGCUUCAAAAUAUUUAGCUGAAGGACUGAAUGGGUAGGCUACUUUAUUGAUAAGUAGAUAGAUAAACAUUCAUGGCUACCGCUUCAAGGAAAAGGUCUGUACGGAUGAGUAUUUAGAAAAUAAAUACACAUGGCUACCGCUUUGAAAUGAAGGUCUGUACGGGUGAAUAUUUAAAACACAGAAAGAACGCUGGCCUGAUUGUGCGACGUUCAACUGAAAAAGGAAAUCCUGCGAAUAUAAAACGCUCCGUCUAGCUAAACGGGGGUUUAUAAAUCAGUAGGUCGCACCACGAUAUUGCUCUAACGUAGAAUAAAGAUCAAUACGGGGUGGAUGAAUAGGAUAUGAAGACAAGCUGAUCCGAUUAGACAGUAGUCUCGUCAUGUCGUAAAAAUCCUAUAGGAUAAUACCAGUUUAUGUAGAGGAAGUGUAUUAAACUAGGGGAUAAACUAUAGGUCGUUUUUAGGUAAAAACGAAGGGUAUGCGUGAAAAAUCCUAUAGGAUAAUACCAGUUUAUGUAGAGGAAGUGUAUUAAACUAGGGGAUAAACUAUAGGUCGUUUUUAGGUAAAAACGAAGGGUAUGCGUGAAAAAUCCUAUAGGAUAAUACCAGCUUAUGUAGAGGAAGUGAAUUAAGUUAGGUAAUAAACUGUUUUGUUUUUAGGUAAAGACAAAAGGAUUGAAUGAAUGCUGUAAUAUAAUUAUUUGUGAUGAAUGAGCAGAUUAGAAAGAAGAGGAAGGACAGGCUGUGUGUCUGUGACCAACUGGGAAUGCGCAGGCCUCUCUGACAGUUAACUAAGUGUAAUUUGAGAAAGAGAGCGCAUUUAACUCUCACUGGGAAGAGGAACGAAAUCGAUAAAUAUUGGGCAAGAUAAGUUAUACAUAAGCAUAAAACAUUGACUGGAUAGUGAGUUAAAAGACCAUUGUAAAAAUUACAAUAGGUGUUAAAAAGAGGUAUUAAACAAGGCAUGGAUAGUAUAAAACGGAUGCGAAGUAGGAAGAAAUAACUUAAAAAUAUACAGAUAAACUAAAAUAUACUGGUUAAAAUAAAUCUAGGCAAAAGUGAGAAUUGCAUGAAAAUAGAAGUCUAGAACACAUUAAAAAUAUCACGAGCCCUGUAAACGAAAUAGGAGGCUGCAAUUUAAAAAUAGCCUCAGGAAUUAAACAGUAAAAUAGGCUAAGAGAGAAUAUAGCAAGCGGAUAAAUAAAGAGAUAAGAAAGUGCAGACAUUAUAAAUAAGCUGAAUUAGAAGGAAAAUUAUAUGAAAUAAGAUUUAAUACAUUGAAUAAAGUUAAAGUAAUAGUAUAAGCAAAGAUAAAAACACAGUGAUAUUUGAGGUGCUGUACUAGAAUAAGACAUUAAGGCUUCUGUAGUAUUCAGCAAUACAGUUGUAGACAUUAUAGAGUAGGUUUUAAUAGGAGGUAUUAAGUGAUGUGACUAAUAAAUUAUUAUUUGAGAAAGUAGGGUAGAUCUACCUUGGAAAAUAGUAAAUAAAGUAUAUAAUGCGAUGGGAGAGUUUAGGAAAAAUAAAUAGUGGCAUGGAAACAAAUGGACUGUUUCUCCCUGGAAUAUAGAGAUAGCGAAAUUUAAUAAAGCCAUAGAGUCGCUGAAAGAAGCGCACGUUAAUUCUACCAAUUCGAUUUGAAUAUGAAGGAGCGGUUUGCUACAAUGUAGGGCAACAUUACCCGGUAAACAGGAUAAAUAAAAUAAUGAAUUGGAACGAUCACAUAAAACCAUAACAAGAAGCUUAACUUACCAGCGUUUUAAUGUUAAUUAACAUUAUAUCAUCAGAAAUACAUUACGAUGGGGGAAGUGUAAGAAGUUGUAGAGCAGGGCUAACUAGUGUGGGGGAAAAUUAGUGUAAGAUGACACUGGAAUGCGAUAGUAGAGAAUGCAGAAAUACAGGAAUUUACACCCGUUUUAAAAGAACAACAACUGAUCGUUCUAAGGUUAGUACGAAUGAAGUUUUCACCAAGCGGUGUAUAGUCUCUGAUUAAUCAAAAAGUGGUUCAUAGAGAGUACAGUUUAUGUGAUGAAAUACGUACUAGAUCACGUUUUACCUAACUUAUAGUAAGGUACCGAUGUAAUUUACAAAUAGCCCCACUCGGAGUCGUUUUGCAUUAAAAUGGCGGUUUCAGUGGUGAUAAAAUGCGUGGAGAAGUUGUUAUUAGCGUCAAAAUACGGAAAAUAAACGUAUAUGAAAAAUCACAAGCGUGGUAAAAAUAGUUAGAAGAAAAGCAAAUUGUAGAGUAUGGGUCUAUUCAAUUUCUAAGGGUAGGAUACAGAUGGCCGAGCAGGGGGGAAUUGUGCGUUCUGUGCAUGGCUGGAGCUUUUAUCGCAUGCUCGGGAUAAGUGAGGGGAUUUUAGUAUGUGUGUUACUGUUGGCUUGCUGAUUUAGAGGGUGGCAUGGUGAAUGUUAACGAAAUGUACAUUUCUUUUCCAGAAAAAAGGGGUUACAUUUUCAAUGGGUUUUUCAGUUCGGUUUCAAAUUGGGUAUGCAGAAGGAUGGAAGUGCUUUUGAAAGUGUGGUUAAGAUGUUUCUAAAGAAAAAAGAGUGAAAACAUUAUAAUGGUGUCGAAUGCCCUGAACUCUAAGAAUUUCCCGUGAAGACUGAUCAACUUCACUAGAAAUUUUUGGAAUAGGUGGGAUUUAAUUAUAAAAUGAUUGAGAAACACCAGUUUCUGUUCAAAGUGUAGAAUCACUUUGAAAUUCCAUUAUUUCCUUGGGAAAAAGAUGAAGAGUUGUAAUCUUGAAUUGACUAGUUAUUCAAAUAGGUUUAUUUUUAUUUAACAUGGGGUUAUAGGAGAACAUAUCAGUUCCCUGGGGUUAUGGUCUUUGGGUAAAUACAAAAUGUGCUUUGUUCAUUCUACAUAUAAAAUAGAAAUAUAUGUAAACAAGGGAUAACAGUUACUCCAAAUAGGUUAUUGGAGUGGGGGUUUCUGCAAGGGUUAUGAUGAUAACUACAUAAUCUGUAACUCAUCUGAGAGAUCGCCAGUAGAAUAAGGGAGUUAUCAUGGAAAUGUAAUGUCAGAAUGCAUUCAUGCUUGGGAGAGACUAUCAUAACACCAAGUGGGUGUGAAAUUUAUAAACAACAUUUAGUUAUGUUUUGGUUAUAGGACUGUUUAAAUUUAUUAGGCCUAGGGAAGCUCUGGAAACUAAUCCUGAGACAGGGUGAUUGACAGAAUUUACAGAAUAUUAAAUUAAAGGUUUUUGUUUCUUUUAUUUUACAAUAUCAUAGUAAUUGGAGUGAUACAUUGGAAUGACAUAAGUAAUUGAAUAAAAAGUAUAGUCUGUUGUGUGAUAACACCCAAGGAUGAAGAAGACAUUACAAAUAGUGGUAAUUUAUUGCAAAAUAUGCAGUCAUUAUAAUUUACUUUACCAUUUUUCUUGUUUGGUCAAUUUAUUUUUGGUUUGAGGAAAAUAAGAGUGUAUAUUUUUCCUGAGGAGGGACUGAUAUAAAUUGACUAAAAAUGAUUUGAGAAUGUUUAAGUAUGUAUCAAACUAUGGAAGGAAAUUAGGAGUAGUGACUUAUGUGUUAUGGGUUAGAAAAACUGUAACUACAUUGGGGGCUCAUAUAUGAAGGUUAUGGUAACAAGAGGGGGGUGUUAUUUCUAGAAACAGUGUAUAUUGAUAGACAAGAUAAUUCACGGAAAAGGAAGGACAGUUGGUUUUGUAAAAAUAUAGGGACAAUUCUAAAAGUAAAUAGAACAUUACACAUACCUAGAUUAUGGUAAAAGUAAUAAGUAGUGGCAUUUUGAACACUAGAGCAAAAGUUUAAGAAGUUUAGGAUUUAGUUUUGUUAGGAUUGGAUAUUCUUUCAACUGGAAGACACUUGACUGAUUACAUGUUAUUCUUGCAGCAGUUACGGUAGGGAUCAUAAUUUGGCUAUCAUUAUGAAUAUUUUUGUGGCAAGAGGCCAGGUAUUUAAGACAGAAUGUUUACAUAGGGCUGUUAUUUAAAAAUUAAGAUUUAGUGAUCUUGCUCUAAGAAGAAAGUCUGUUGUCAGGAAAUAACCCAUGAGUUAGUUUGUAUGUUCCCAGGAAAAGACGCCAGAUGGAAGGGCAUGGGCUGAAUUCUGGAAACUGAGUGUACAUCAAGAUACACCGGGCUGGGGAUAUACUUCUUACAGCACCUGCAGUGGUAAAGAUUGUCAUGUCUCUCUAUGAUGGGUGCAUAAGUUUCACAAGAAGUAAGGUCCAGCUGAAUAAUGGGUGAGCUUGAAAACACCAUGACAGAGGACGUGAAACAAAACAAAAGAGAGAGAGAGAGAGACUAGAUUCUACUGUAGACAUACUGGGUUGAGUUUGGGGGUUAUUUGUUUUAUUUGAUAAUGUAUCAUGUGAAUAAGGAUAUAUGUUAGGGUAGUUGUACUCUAAACCACAUGUUGAAGGCUCAAUGUGGAAGCCCAUUCCGUGUUGAAUUACUUUAAGAAGCAAUAAUGUUGAUUAAGGUUAUGCACAUGUUUAUCAGUUGAAACAGAGCAGAUGGGGAACUAAGUAAAAAAUGACAUGGUUUGGGAACACCUCUCAGAACCUGUGGCCGAAAGGGGAAGACUGGAUGAAAGCACGAGGAAGCCAAUUAGGGCCUCCAUUUUUGUGGAGUCCAGCAGAAAAGUAUCCUGGAGGCAUAGAGUCAGUCUUAUGUUUAGGAAACCAGAUGGAGAAGGGUUCUCCAGCUUCAGCUGGAAUGUCAGUUUGUGUGAUGAGUGAUGGAAGUAAGAGAAUGUAUGGUGUAAUCAUAGAACAGAGGCCAUAAGUCUCUAAGUAUGAAUGCCCCACAGAAAGAAGGCAGAAAUCUGAACCAGGAUGAGAGGUUCCACAUCUGAUGAUCCAAGGGGACCAGAAGGAUCUCUCCCAGUGAUACCAGGAGAUCGAGUCUACGUUUGAGUGUUCCGAAGGAAGUGGGAUCAGCCGAGGAGGGAAGGACCCUACGAGGUGGCAACAGCCACAAACACGGCCGUCCAAGUGAAAGGAAGCAAGACGUGGUAUCAUCUAAACCACUGUACCCGAGUCCCGACGGAGAGAAGGACACAACCAUACAGAGAUGAGGACACAGAUGAUGCUGAUUCACCAGAAGGGACCCCGGAGGGAGCAGGAGCAGCGGAAUCGAUCAAAGCGCCGGGGAGGAAUCAAGAAAAUGGCAGACCAGAUACAACGAGUGCAUCGGCUAACACACUCAGAAGAACGAACAAGAAAAAAAAAAAGAGCCUGAAAAGAAAAGAGACAAACAACCAAAGUUUCCUCCAGUAUGGCCAGAAAGCCCAGAAGUGGGAGGGGGUAACAUGUCUGCCACUCCUGAUGAUAUACUUGUUGGGGCAGACUCUGUUGACGGAAGCCUUCUACAGUGGGACCCCGAGGUAUCGCCUAAAGAAUGUGAACAUCUCUUCCCUGAAAUGGUCACCUUCCAGAUGGAAGCACAGUCCGGCCUGAGGAGGGAGCCUCAGGGGAAGACAGAGGAGGAGAGGCCUCACAGGAACAGAAGGAGAGACCCCGCAAAGAGGAGGAAAAGUCCAGCAAGCUGAAGAAAAUGGGGAUUUCCCCAAAAUUGACUUUUCAGCUCUUGAAUUGUCUCCUUAACAGACACUUGAAGUUAGAGCCACAGAAGAACAAUGAUAUUGACAUAACAGAAGUAACAGUGAACGCUAGAAUAGCAACAACAGACUCACGCACAAUCAAGAUGUAGGGUGGAAACAGGAAGAGAAGAGAGGAACCAGUCAAACAAUCUAAAAAGACUGACAAGGUUAGAAUCUCUGUUCCACCUCAACAUAUAACUGAAACAGAAGAAUAGAAGACAAAAGGAUCAAACCCUUACCGGAGAUUGCAUUCGGUGGAUGGACAUAUCAUCGAACGAAGAGAGAAGUUAUUUGGGACUCAAAAGGAUGUGACCUGACGUUAACCAAAGAAGUAGACGAGUGGGUGCUCACCAGGAAUCAGAUUGAACCAGUUGAAGGUGAAGAAUUAAUAGGUGAAAUAAUGAGAACAAGAUUGACUGAAGGGAGUAGUUCCUCAGUCAUUCAGAAUUGGUCUUACGCCAAUACCUAAACAGGAAGAGCCUGUGGUAGCUAGAAAGCAUCAGAACCAGGAGGGUUCUUUAUUGACAUUUUGAACUUUUUGACUAACUCUAAUGACCUACCUCAAGAUAAGAACAUUGCAAAGAUGACAGACAGACAUACCAGACUCUGAACCACUCAAGGACACCACAUGAAAAGAAUAGUGAAGAAUGAGUGGUACGAAUGGGCUAAGUAUACAGCAGAAAUAAACAUAGAAUGGACAAUUGUAUUUUGUGUAGAAAAUCACCUUUGUCUGAUCUUUUGAUAGUACCUGAACCUGCAUCAUUUGAAGAAUGUGUUAAAUGUAAAAUGUUCAAUAUUCAGAGAAAAUACUACAUUCCCUUGUGUGACCUGGAAGGGGGGUUAUUGGCUCUGGGUAUUGUAUUUUGUUGUGUUUUACCCUGGGUGAAAUCACUUGUGAUCCAGACAACGGUUAAACAGAUGUUUGUAAGUAGAGCUGACACUCCGGUGAUAGUUGAUCCUGUGCCGGGUAGGCCAGGCCACUAUACUGAUGAAAAUGGACAGUUAUGCUGUCCUUCCAAAUUCAUAAGAAAGUCAACUGAUGCAUAUCCACAAAAAGGGUCAUUUCCGUAGUAAGUACAAGAGGUGUUAUGUAAGGUCUACUUUUGCUCACGGCCUUGUGUUUUAGUAUGUUUUGUCAAAUGUUUUUAUAGGUAUAUCAAUGAAUAUAUCUGGUUUCUUUUAAUUAAAAGUUAGUUUUGCCUUCUAAAAUGCUAGGUUAUAUUUAAAAACAUGUAGGUAACAGUGGGAUAUCCCGGUUACAAGUGUCUACGGACCAUGUCCUUAAUCUUCUAACAGAGGUUGGUAUUGAUGGUAUCACGGUUGUUGGAGAGGUGUCUGAGAGGGAGAAUCAUGUGGAAAGCUUAAAUUUAGAAUGAUGUGUCAAUUUUAUUUUGUAACUGCAUGGAGGCCUAGUGUUUUCUCAUAUUCAAUUUAUUAUUUGACUCAUUGCUUUAUUAUAUAUAUUUUUCUUUUUCGCGUAGCUGAGAACCUCAGACAAGGUUAUGUAUUUACAUGCUCAUGCUUUAACAAAAGAUAAUGUAUUCUUUUUUGUUUCUAUACCGAACUAGAUAUUUUACUCUUAUGAAAUACUAGAGAUGUUUGGUGUAGGUGAUUAGGAAGUUUUAUUUUUUAAUUAUUUUUUGUUUUUUUAUUUAAAAAUAUUUUUUUUGAUAAUCGACUGUUGAUAUUAUGUUCCAUAUGUCCUUUUUAAGUUUUUGGUGCUUAUUAAAGCACCAGAGGGGGGUUAUGUGGGAGAAAUUAGGUACAUAUAUGGAUAAAUAUAUUGUCCUAUAUAAUGGCAUUUGCCAUUCUGGUAAGGUACAUUGUCUAUUGUAUAGGACAGGAAGCCAGAGUGGGGCCAUGGGAGAGGGCAACACCUAGGGCAGCUGGACAUACAAAGGUCAGAGGUUAUCUAAGGAGGGGGUCAGCCAAAGGACCAAUUGAUGGAUUACAGACAUCAAUCACAUCACAGGAGACAAGUCUGUUUGAUCUUAGACAACCAUAUGAAGAGAAGGCGACCAGAACAGCUAGGCACCCUAAAGCUAAAGGAGAUGAAAGACACCAAAAGGGACACAUGGAGUUAAUUACAGGGUAUGAACACAGGCCACAGGAAAGGGGAAUGUAUAGUAUUUUUAGUAUAGCUGAGCAUGCUAAAAACAGAAGAGACACAUAGUCUGCUGACCCUAGAUAACACACAAACAGGAGAACGCAUUAAGCUGAGUGAAGGGUCAAAGCAAGGGUCUUGUCACCAUUAGGAUCUAAUGGAAAGCAGAUGGGGGCGUUAUUGGGCUGAACAAGCAGGAAGCACGGAUUGGGAUGUAACUUAAUUUGCAUAUGGGAGGGACUUAUAUGGUAGGUGUAUAACUCAGAGCGAGGGCUCUGAAAAAGUGUGUGUGUUCCGCGGACCGCUCCGGCUUAUGAUACUGUUGUAUUAAAAGUCUAUAUUGAUUUUCACAAA